rnacentral:rRNA from 1 species
GGGGAAUAUUGCACAAUGGGCGAAAGCCUGAUGCAGCAACGCCGCGUGAGUGAUGAAGGUCUUCGGAUUGUAAAGCUCUGUCUUUUGGGACGAUAAUGACGGUACCAAAGGAGGAAGCCACGGCUAACUACGUGCCAGCAGCCGCGGUAAUACGUAGGUGGCGAGCGUUGUCCGGAUUUACUGGGCGUAAAGGGUGCGUAGGCGGAUGUUUAAGUGAGAUGUGAAAUACCCGGGCUUAACUUGGGUGCUGCAUUUCAAACUGGAUAUCUAGAGUGCAGGAGAGGAGAAUGGAAUUCCUAGUGUAGCGGUGAAAUGCGUAGAGAUUAGGAAGAACACCAGUGGCGAAGGCGAUUCUCUGGACUGUAACUGACGCUGAGGCACGAAAGCGUGGGUAGCAAACAGGAUUAGAUACCCUGGUAGUCCACGCCGUAAACGAUGAGUACUAGGUGUAGGAGGUAUCGACCCCUUCUGUGCCGCAGUAAACACAUUAAGUACUCCGCCUGGGAAGUACGAUCGCAAG